GGAAGUAAAAGUCGUAACAAGGUUUCCGUAGGUGAACCUGCGGAAGGAUCAUUACCGUGCCAUCGGGGACGCGCUCCGGCGCGGCCCCUCCCGGCCACCCGUGUCUACCGAACCACGUUGCCUCGGCGGGCCCGUCCCCCGGGAUCGCCCCGGGGGACCGCCGGGGGCCUCGCCGGCGCCCUGCUGCGCCGACGGCCCCGGGCCCGCGCCCGCCCGAGGAGUUCGACCGAACCUCUGUCGAUCCGUGAGCGAGUCUGAGUCGACUGGAAAAUCGUCAAAACUUUCAACAACGGAUCUCUUGGUUCCCGCAUCGAUGAAGAACGCAGCGAAAUGCGAUAAGUAAUGUGAAUUGCAGAAUUCCGUGAAUCAUCGAAUCUUUGAACGCACACGGCGCCCUCUGGUAUUCCGGGGGGCAUGCCUGUCCGAGCGUCAUUGCAACCCUCAAGCGCGGCUUGUGUGAUGGGCGCGCGUCCCCCCCGAACUGGGCGGGACGGGCCCGAAAGGCAGUGGCGGCGUCGCGGUCAUCCUCGAUCGCCCGAGUGCAUGGGGCUCAGUCACGCACGACGGCGAGGACCGGCGCCGGCCGCCCCUUGCGUAGUAGCAUCAGCCUCGCAUCGGGAGCCCGCGGGCGUCUCCGGCCUCUAAACCCCCAUCCAAAGACCGCCCCCGGCGGCACCAAAGGUUGACCUCGGAUCAGGUAGGAAUACCCGCUGAACUUAGGCAUAUCAAUAAGCGGAGGA
rnacentral:rRNA from 1 species